GUCUAUGGGCAUGCCACCUUCAACAAGUUUGAUGUCUGAUCUCAGAAGCUAAGCAGGGUCAAGCCUGGUUAGUACUUGGAUGAGAGACCACCUAGAAAGACCAGUUGCUGUAGGCA
rnacentral:rRNA from 1 species